rnacentral:rRNA from 1 species
CCUACGGGAGGCAGCAGUCGGGAAUUUUGGGCAAUGGGCGAAAGCCUGACCCAGCAACGCCGCGUGAAGGAUGAAAUCCUUCGGGAUGUAAACUUCGCAAGAACGGGAAGAAUAAGUAAGAGUUAAUAUCUCUUACGAUGACGGUACUGUUUGUAAGCUCCGGCUAACUCCGUGCCAGCAGCCGCGGUAAU